rnacentral:lncRNA from 1 species
UAAUAUUUUUUAAGUUUUAGACAGAGAAGGGGUCUGAGCGUGACCGUCAAAUCUACAAAUUCUCUCUCUCUCUCUCUCUCCUUCGCUCUCUUUCUCUCUUCCAUCUUCUCAGUUACUCUCUUUCUCCCUCUACAAAGCUCUCUCGUUUUUAAUAUUUUAUAUCUUCUAAAUUAAAUUCUCAUAAUUUAGAGAGUAAAGAGAAAGAAAGAAAGGUGAUUCAGUUCAAGAAAUUAUAAUCCGCGAUCGUUUUAUUUCUCGGGAAUCUCUCUUCUUCAAUCUGUGUCUUCUCUUUCCAGAAUAUAAUGUUCCAGAUUUUCAAGGUACCCAAUACUGCCUAUCAUAAAUUUACACUAUUAUUUAUAUAUAUGGAAAAGACAAAGUACAAUAAAAUAAUUCAAUUAAUGUUCUCUUUGUUUUGUUUUGUUUUAGUUGAUGGGUUUGUUUCUUAAUUAGCUUUCUAGAACUAAAUGUCUUUGAUCUUAUUUUUUGUUAAAUUCUUCAUUUUCUUUUAAAGAUCUUUAUAUGGUAACUGGGUUGUUUUUAGAUUUUAUUUUUAGUUUUGCAAAUGGAAACUUCUUUUGUUUUGUUUAAAUGGGUUUUAUUUUUGUUGCUAUUUUGGGAAUUUUAUGCUUAUGAAAGUGAAACUUUUUCAAGUACGUUUGAAUUCCCAAUUUUGGUUUCUGAUAUAAUUCCUGAAUUUUAAGUCAAAAUCUCAUUUGGAUUUUGUUUAGCUCUGUUAUCAACAUUUGUGUCUUCCUUUUCUUUUCUUUUUGUUUAUAAAUAUCUAUAAAUUUCAAUAUUUUUGAAAAUAAAAAUUUGUAAAGAUUAAUGAUGUUGUCUGUGCAGCAGGAGUACAGAGAUAGGGGGAGAGAGAGACUAAUGGCCUCAUCUUCUCUGCAUCAUUGACUGUUUUUUUCUUUUUUGGUUACAGUUUGGGAUUCUUCUUUGAAACUGAGUUUUAAAGAUGGGUAUUUUCUCAGUACAAAUAAAAAAGUUCCCUUUUAUGGAAAAUGGGAUCUGCUUUUACACAUCUCAUCAUAAAUAAUAAUAUUAAUAGUAAUAGUAAUAAUAAUAAUAAUAAUAAUAAUAAUAUAAAUAAUAAUAAUUGGAUGUUUGUUAUCAGAUCCCUUUGUGUGUUCAAAAAAAAAAGUGGAACCCAUAGAGGUC